rnacentral:ncRNA from 1 species
GAUAACACGAUGAACAAGCAAGUAGGCUUAAGGCUGUGUUUAAGAGAGCGAAGUCGCCGGCUGUAAGCUUCGCACACAAAAUUAUGCCGAAGUUCCCUUGGGAGUGUCCUGCCUGAAGGCCGCAUGGCUGCGUAGGGUGGGCGUAAGGCUGCGUUAAAGCUUGCAAAUGAAGGAACAAAUUUGGGUGGUACCGCGAAAUUUUUUCGCCCCUGUA